rnacentral:rRNA from 1 species
AAAAGCUCGUAGUUGGAUUUCUGUGGGGACGGAGCGGCCGGCCGCAACUUGCGGUUCGAGCUAGCGCUUUCCCUACAUCCUGCCGCGAACCGUGCUACCAUUAGUUUGGUGGCGCCGGGGAUCGGCUCGUUUACUUUGAGAAAAAUAGAGUGUUCAAAGCAGGCCACACGCCUUGAAUAAGUUAGCAUGGAAUAAUAAUAAAGGACUUCGGUUCUAUUUUGUUGGUGUUCGGGACUGAAGUAAUGAUUGAUAGGGACAGUUGGGGCGGUCAGUAUUCCAAAGCGAGAGGUGAAAUUCUUAGACCUUCGGAAGACUAACAGCUGCGAAAGCGUUCCGCAAGGAUGUUCCCUUUGAUCAAGAACGAAAGUUGGGGGAUCGAAGACGAUCAGAUACCGUCGUAGUCUCAACUAUAAACUAUACCAGCUAGGGAUCGGCCAACGUUAAAUUAUUCGACUUGGUCGGCACCUUAUGAGAAAUCAAAGCAUCUGGGUUCCGGGGGGAGUAUGGUCGCAAGGCUGAAACUUAAAGGAAUUGACGGAAGGGCACCACCAGCCGUGGAGCCUGUGGCUUAAUUUGACUCAACACGGGAAAACUUACCAGGUCCAGACAUAGUAAGGAUUGACAGAUUGAUAGCUCUUUCUUGAUUCUGUGGGUGGUGGUGCAUGGCCGUUCUUAGUUGGUGGAGUGAUUUGUCUGGUUAAUUCCGUUAACGAACGAGACCCCAGCCUGCUAAAUAGCGUGGUUGAGCUUUGCUCGGCGCAAGCUUCUUAGAGGGACUAUGAUGCGCGAUAGCACAUGGAAGUUUGGGGCAAUAACAGGUCUGUGAUGCCCUUAGAUGUUCUGGGCCGCACACGGGCUACACUGGCGCCUGCAACGAGCAUAUCAGCUGGCCCGAGAGGGUCUUGGCUAAUCUUUUGAACCGGCGCCGUGCUUGGGAUUGACCAUUGCAAUUGUUGGUCAUGCAACGAGGAAUGCCUUGUAAACGCGAGUCAUCACUCGCAUUGAAUACGUCCCUGCCCUUUGUACACACCGCCGUCGCUCUACCGAUGAAUG